UGGGGAAUUUUGGACAAUGGGGGAAACCCUGAUCCAGCCAUCCCGCGUGUGCGAUGAAGGCCUUCGGGUUGUAAAGCACUUUUGGCAGGAAAGAAACGUCAUGGGUUAAUACCCCGUGAAACUGACGGUACCUGCAGAAUACGCACCGGCUAACUACGUGCCAGCAGCCGCGGUAAUACGUAGGGUGCAAGCGUUAAUCGGAAUUACUGGGCGUAAAGCGUGCGCAGGCGGUUCGGAAAGAAAGAUGUGAAAUCCCAGAGCUCAACUUUGGAACUGCAUUAUUAACUACCGGGCUAGAGUGUGUCAGAGGGAGGUGGAAUUCCGCGUGUAGCAGUGAAAUGCGUAGAUAUGCGGAGGAACACCGAUGGCGAAGGCAGCCUCCUGGGAUAACCCUGACGCUCAUGCACGAAAGCGUGGGGAGCAAACAGG
rnacentral:rRNA from 1 species